rnacentral:SRP_RNA from 1 species
GCCAGGCGCAGUGGCGCAUGCCUGUAGUCCCAGCCACUCGGGAGGCUGAGGUGGGAGAAUCGCUUGAGCCCAGGAGUUCUGGGCUAUAAUGUGCUAUACCGAUCAGGUGUCUGCACUAAGUUCAGCAUCAAUAUAGUGACCUCCCGGGAGCGGGGGACCACCAGAUUGCCUAAGGAGGGGGUGAACCGGCCCAGGUUGGAAACGGAGCAGGUCAAAACUCCUGUGCUGAUCAGUAGUGGGAUCACGCCUGUGAAUAGCCACUGCACUCCAGCCUGGGUAACACAGUGAGACCUCUUCUCU